rnacentral:rRNA from 1 species
GCUUGUCUCAAAGAUUAAGCCAUGCAUGUCUAAGUAUAAACAAAUCUAUACGUGAAACUGCGAAUGGCUCAUUAUAUCAGUUAUAGUUUAUUUGAUGGUUCUUGCUACUUGGAUAACCGUAGUAAUUCUAGAGCUAAUACAUGCGCAAAUACCCAACUGCUUGUCGGACGGGUAGCAUUUAUUAGAUUGAAACCAAUGCAGUCUUCGGGCUGGUAUUGUGUUGAGUCAUAAUAACUGUGCGGAUCGCGUUUUACGCGAUAAAUCGAUUGAGUUUCUGCCCUAUCAGCUUUGGAUGGUAGGGUAUUGGCCUACCAUGGCUUUAACGGGUAACGGAGAAUUAGGGUUCGAUUCCGGAGAGGGAGCCUGAGAAAUGGCUACCACAUCCAAGGAAGGCAGCAGG